UACAGAGGGUGCAAGCGUUGUUCGGAAUUAUUGGGCGUAAAGCGCGUGUAGGCGGCUUUGCAAGUCGGGUGUGAAAGCCCUCAGCUUAACUGAGGAAGUGCGCCCGAAACUGCAGAGCUUGAGUACCGGAGAGGAUGGUGGAAUUCCCCAAGUAGAGGUGAAAUUCGUAGAUAUGAGGAGGAACACCGGUGGCGAAGGCGACCAUCUGGACGGAUACUGACGCUGAGACGCGAAAGCGUGGGGAGCAAACAGG
rnacentral:rRNA from 1 species